AUUGAACGCUGGCGGCAUGCUUUACACAUGCAAGUCGAACGGCAGCGCGGGCUUCGGCCUGGCGGCGAGUGGCGAACGGGUGAGUAAUACAUCGGAACGUGCCCAGUAGUGGGGGAUAGCUCGGCGAAAGCCGGAUUAAUACCGCAUACGACCUGAGGGUGAAAGCGGGGGAUCUUCGGACCUCGCGCUAUUGGAGCGGCCGAUGGCAGAUUAGCUAGUUGGUGGGGUAAAGGCCUACCAAGGCGACGAUCUGUAGCUGGUCUGAGAGGACGACCAGCCACACUGGGACUGAGACACGGCCCAGACUCCUACGGGAGGCAGCAGUGGGGAAUUUUGGACAAAGGGCGAAAGCCUGAUCCAGCAAUGCCGCGUGUGUGAUGAAGGCCUUCGGGCUGUAAAGCACUUUUGGCGGGAACGAAAAGGACUGUGCCAAUACCACGGUUCGAUGACGGUACCCGCAGAAUAAGCACCGGCUAACUACGUG
rnacentral:rRNA from 1 species